rnacentral:rRNA from 1 species
GACGAACGCUGGCGGCGCGCCUAACACAUGCAAGUCGAACGAGCGAGAGAGAGCUUGCUUUCUCAAGCGAGUGGCGAACGGGUGAGUAACGCGUGAGGAACCUGCCUCAAAGAGGGGGACAACAGUUGGAAACGACUGCUAAUACCGCAUAAGCCCACGGGUCGGCAUCGACCAGAGGGAAAAGGAGCAAUCCGCUUUGAGAUGGCCUCGCGUCCGAUUAGCUAGUUGGUGAGGUAAUGGCCCACCAAGGCGACGAUCGGUAGCCGGACUGAGAGGUUGAACGGCCACAUUGGGACUGAGACACGGCCCAGACUCCUACGGGAGGCAGCAGUGGGGAAUAUUGCACAAUGGGGGAAACCCUGAUGCAGCGACGCCGCGUGGAGGAAGAAGGUCUUCGGAUUGGUAAAACUCCUGUUGUUGAGGAAGAUAAUGACGGUACUCAACAAGGAAGUGACGGCUAACUACGUG